UAACAGGGGGUGCUUGCACCCCGCUGACGAGCGGCGGACGGGUGAGUAAUGCAUAGGAAACUGCCCAGUAGUGGGGGAUAGCCCGGGGAAACCCGGAUUAAUACCGCGUACGCCCUUCGGGGGAAAGCAGGGGAUCUUCGGACCUUGCGCUAUUGGAUGUGCCUAUGUCGGAUUAGCUAGUUGGUGGGGUAAAGGCCUACCAAGGCGACGAUCCGUAGCUGGUCUGAGAGGAUGAUCAGCCACAUCGGGACUGAGACACGGCCCGAACUCCUACGGGAGGCAGCAGUGGGGAAUAUUGGACAAUGGGGGCAACCCUGAUCCAGCCAUGCCGCGUGUGUGAAGAAGGCUUUCGGGUUGUAAAGCACUUUCAGUGAGGAGGAAAAGUUGGUCGUUAAUACCGGCCAGCCUUGACGUUACUCACAGAAGAAGCACCGGCUAACUCCGUGCCAGCAGCCGCGGUAAUACGGAGGGUGCAAGCGUUAAUCGGAAUUACUGGGCGUAAAGCGCGCGUAGGUGGUUUGAUAAGCGAGAUGUGAAAGCCCCGGGCUUAACCUGGGAACGGCAUUUCGAACUGUCAGGCUAGAGUAUGGUAGAGGAGUGUGGAAUUUCCUGUGUAGCGGUGAAAUGCGUAGAUAUAGGAAGGAACACCAGUGGCGAAGGCGGCACUCUGGUAGCCAAUACUGACACUGAGUGCGAAAGCGUGGGGAGCAGACAGGAUUAGAUACCCUGGU
rnacentral:rRNA from 1 species